UACAAGUCCAACCCUGCUUGUAUUUUCAUGAUAAUUUUGCAAGUCCAGCUCCUUUCUAAAUAAACCUGUUUCUUUUUUUUUUCUUUUUUUUCCCAUUGGCAGGUACAAGGCCUACCGGCUAUAACUGCAACUGUAGGACCUUGACAAAAGAAAAAAAAAGCUCAAUAGGAAAUCUGUCUUGUAUAUUUCCAUCAAACAUUGGACAAAACUAUUUCAAACUUGGAUACGGAGUUAGCUUAUGCAAAGG